CAGAGCCGCGGGCUACAGCAAGCUAAUCAAAAACAGCAAAGACCAAACAAGGCUACCUCUUUCAGACAGUCUCAAAAUAACAGGAUUAGAGUUAUCUCUCAACAGCAGUUAUUUGAUGCUGGUAGCAUUUAAAUUAAAUUCCAUCAAGAAACCCCCAACCAGACAAAGUGAGCAACUGUAAUUCCAGAUCUGGAUGAUGCCGUGUGAAUCCUCCUCUCUCGGGCCCUGUCAGCUUUAUUGAUCGCUCACCGGGGGGAUGAGACACAAUUUCAGAUCGGGCCACCGGAGAGGCUGGCAACAUUUCUGUAAACAUUCCAGAUGGAACGACAAACUUACAGGACUUAAUGGAAUAUAUUCAGCAAGAAAUUACAUCCUUGAGUUUAUAUGCAUCAGUCCAUAUCAGCUGUGCACAUCUGGACACUGAAAUCCCCUCUUCGUUCGUUUUUUGCAAAAUUGCUCCAGUUCUAUCACUACUAUCUUUCUGCAUGCAAGCAAAAGCAGACACACAUUUACAGGAUGGAGACACACUAAACUUAAUACAGAGAGACAUGACCAGUAAAGAAAAACCACUUGAACCACCAAUCAUUAAAAACACCAUGUACUAGUAAUGGAUCUAAACUGGCUAAUGGGACAGAUCCAUGGACAACACGAUAUAAUGUCUUCUGAAUAUGAUCCCCCCCUUUUAUCAGUAAGAUGGGUCCAUGCCAGACUACAAACACCAAUAAUAUAUGGAAUACUCUGGUCACACCUUUUUUCGGUGAUAAACAAGAAUCUAAAGCCCAACAGAAAUCAGUUUUUCAUUAAUAUAUAUAAAUAUAUAAAUAAUGUUUCAUUGUACAAUGAAUAGAAUCAUCCCUCCCUCCCCUUCAGUGGUGGGUCUGUUGAGAGAUAUUCUAUUGUGACCAUGAGGGCUAGAGCUGAAACAAGUAUUUGAUUAAUGGAUUAGUCACUCAACAUUAAUCAACAACUAUUUUCAUCAUCAUCUGAGUUACAAUCCAUCUAAUUUUAACCACUGAUCUGGAUCUGGGUCAUGGUGGUAGUAGAAUGAGAAAGGCAGCCCAGACAUUCUUCUCCCUAGCCAGCUCCUCCUGGGGGACCCAAAUGCGUUCCAAGGACAGACGGGAUAUGUAAUCCCUCUAGUGUGCUUUGGGACUGCCCCCGGGACCUUUGCCCAGUUGGACAGACCUCUGAAGGGAGGUAUCCAGGAGGCAGCCUUAUCAGAUGUACGAACCACCUCAACUGACUCCUUUCAAUGUGAAGAAGCAUUAGAAAACAAGCUUCCCUCUGCGUGAGCUCAGCCACCCUGUGAAGGAAACUCAUUUAGACCGCCUUUAUACGCUAAAUCAUUCUUCAUGCCACUACCUAAAGCAGUGUUGAUGCUGAUUGACCAGUAACUCGAGAUCUUUGGCUUCAAGCUCGACUCCCUGUACACAGAGGGACAAUGCUGUACAGUCCAAACCAACCAGUCCAGAGUUUUUUGGCGGUGGACCAUGGCCUCAGACUUGCAGGAACAGCGGACUCUAAUCACAACUGCUUCAAACUCAGCUGCAGACCAUCCCAGAAUUGAUUCAUCACAAGUCAAGGAUGCCAGAGGAACCAUAUCGUCCACAAAAAGCAGAGAUGCAAUCCUGAAGCCACUGACACACUCCACCCCCUGGCUGCGUCUUCUGAGUAUUUUCCUGUGUUUCUCUGUUUUACACUGUUAUAAACUGAACA